rnacentral:rRNA from 1 species
CCUACGGGAGGCUGCAGUGAGGAAUAUUGGUCAAUGGGCGGGAGCCUGAACCAGCCAAGUCGCGUGAGGGAAGAAGGUACUGAGUAUUGUAAACCUCUUUUGCCAGGGGACAAAGGCGGCCACGGGUGGCCGUAAGAGGGUACCUGGAGAAAAAGCAUCGGCUAACUCCGUGCCAGCAGCCGCGGUAAUACGGAGGAUGCGAGCGUUAUCCGGAUUUAUUGGGUUUAAAGGGUGCGUAGGCGGAUCGUUAAGUCAGUGGUCAAAUUGAGGGGCUCAACCCCUUCCCGCCAUUGAAACUGGCGCUCUUGAGUGGAAGAGAGGUAUGCGGAAUGCGGGGUGUAGCGGUGAAAUGCAUAGAUAUCACGCAGAACCCCGAUUGCGAAGGCAGCAUGCCGGCUUCCGACUGACGCUGAAGCACGAAAGCGUGGGGAUCGAACAGGAUUAGAUACCCUUGUAGUC